rnacentral:rRNA from 1 species
CCCUUAGAUGUUCUGGGCUGCACGCGCGCUACACUGAAGCGUUCAACGAGUAUUCACCUUGCCCGGGAGGGUUGGGUAAUCUUUUGAAAACGCUUCGUGAUGGGGAUAGAUUAUUGCAAUUAUUAAUCUUCAACGAGGAAUUCCUAGUAAGCGCGAGUCAUCAGCUCGUGCUGAUUACGUCCCUGCCCUUUGUACACACCGCCCGUCGCUCCUACCGAUUGAGUGAUCUGGUGAAUAAUUCGGACUGCAGUACUGCUUGGUCUCCAGGCUUUGCAGCGGAAAGUUUAGUGAACCUUAUCACUUAGAGGAAGGAGAAGUCGUAACA